rnacentral:rRNA from 1 species
UGGGGAAUAUUGCACAAUGGAGGGAACUCUGAUGCAGCGACGCCGCGUGAACGAAGAAGGCUUUCGAGUCGUAAAGUUCUUUUAUAUGGGAAGAUAAUGACGGUACCAUAAGAAAAAGCCCCGGCUAACUACGUGCCAGCAGCCGCGGUAAUACGUAGGGGGCUAGCGUUGUCCGGAAUCACUGGGCGUAAAGGGUUCGCAGGCGGAAAUGCAAGUCAGGUGUAAAAGGCAGUAGCUUAACUACUGUAAGCAUUUGAAACUGCAUAUCUUGAGAAGAGUAGAAGUAAGUGUAAUUUUUAGUGUAGCGGUGAAAUGCGUAGAUAUUAAAAAGAAUACCGGUGGCGAAGGCGACUUACUGUGCUCAUUCUGACGCUGAGGAACGAAAGCGUGGGUAGCAAACAGG